rnacentral:tRNA from 2 species
GCCAGUGUAGCUCAGUGGCAGAGCAGCUGUUUCGUAAACAGCAGGUCGUCGGUUCGAACCCGACCACUGGCUCCA